rnacentral:lncRNA from 1 species
CGUGAUAUUUACUUGGGUUAAGUACCAAAUUCUAUUGCCUAUAGGACCCUAUAGUCAGAGUCAAAGCUGUUUACUACCUCAACUAGGCAAAAUAAUCAAAUCCCCCCGGGGGCCAUUUAACGGAGCUUAACACCAUUAGAAAAAUUAUUUUUUUUUUGUUUUUAAUUAAGGUGGGCCCCAGCUCUCUCUCUCUCUCUCUUUCCUUGAGUAAAUUGGCUGCCUCAGUUCAGUUUCUUGGCGAGGCCUUCGCCAUCUCCGGUGCGGCCGUGUCUCGCCCCCGAUCCUCCCUCUCACUCUCUAGAUCGUCAAUCCUCUGAAAACAACACAAGCCCUAUCUCCUUUUUCUCAAGGCUACUGCCUUAAAAUCAGGCGAGAAAAAGUCGGCAUCGACCACUGGUUUCACACCGCAACCACCACAUUUGUCUUUAAUUCUAUGUCUCUCGUUGACUCCUCCUCUCACAAACACAAGUCAGCCGCUGCUACCUUCAUGGUCCCGCCGCCUUUCUCCCAAAAUCAGGCGAGCCAGACGGCCGCUGCUCCAUCGCUCUCUCAAUUUCUCUAGCAACCUCAAGCUGCACCCAGAUUAGAACCCUAAUUUUCCUCUAUCAUCGACUCUCAACGGAAAUACACAAUUGAGGGAGAAAAGUCGAGAUGUAGCUUCUCUAUCUGAAAUCGCAAGUCACCGCCCUAGUUCGACAGCAGAGAGAGAGGGGGAGGUUGAGCGAGAGAUAAAGAGUGAGAUAGACAGAAAUAGACGGGAGAGAUAGGAGGAGGGAGGAAUUACCUGAGCCGAAGAGGACAACGGCGAGACAGCCAGGCGGCUGCAGUAACGGCAGCGAUGGAAGAUACCACCGGAGAACAGAAAAUCGAAAUUUAAAAACAAGAAACCCUAUAUCAAUUUUGAUUUGGGGAAAGGGAAGACGAGAAGAAGUGAGGGGCAGGAGAGAAGUCGAUCUUGUCGCGCUGGAGACGGCUAGAACCGGUGACGUUAGCUGGAAUCUCU